AUGAGAAACGAUCAUCGUGCCGCUGGUCUUACCCCUGGCGCUCGAACCGGGAGCAGAUCAUGGCUGCAGAUACCGAGUUUUUGAUAUACAUCAAGAUCACUGGUGCACGUGCAAGACGCACGUGCUCGAUAAUAGCCCGCGGCGGACACAUUUGAUGAAUAAAUUGCGGCUGGCUCCUCUCUUUAGAACCUGGAAGAGACGUACAGUCUUCAACAUCUAGAGUUUCCCCAAACGUUCACGGUCUUCAUACAUAUUCAGAUUCUGUUUCAUUAGAUCAGAAUUAACGGUGUCUGUUGUACAUAAUUUUCCCUGGUUAAGCUUAAUUUACUGCGAUAAAUUAUUUGAGACAUGAGAAUUUCAAACGAAUUGAAAUAAUCAGUGAUGAAAUCUACAAGUGGACUUGAAUCUAAAAUUGUUAAACUGGACAGUAAGAGGAUCCACCGUUUUCUGUUCGGGAGUUCUGACACUAUCUUUUGGCCAGAUAUUCAAUAAUAAUAUUGGUUUGCAAUACAAUUGCACAUUACAUAUGUAUAAUACAUCAGAAACGACGUAUGUACGUUAAUAAAAAUAUCACAACGUAACGUGAACGUAUGUAACGCAAACGUGUUCACGAUUUCAAAUAUCGGCUUCUUAUCAAGAUUGAGAGCCCAGAUCAGCGUUUCUAGAUAAAUAAACAAGGAAACUUAUUUAGGAACAUGUAUCACGAACCGUGAGAGCAACGCUCUUGUGCAACUAUUUUUAAUGUUUCGAAAAUUAAUAUUAAUGUGGCAAAUUGUUUAUUUAUUCUUUGAACACUAGGAACGUUUAAACAAGAAGAGAUAACAGAGUGACUAAUCGGUGAAACCUAUAACCCUGAUCGACACGUUGAUCGAAUCGUCCAAUCGAAGAUAGGAACGUGCGCGAACAGUCGAAAAUAUACGUCUUCACUUGUCUAUUAAUACAUCCGGCCACACAUCUUAUGACAUCCGUUCGCAGGAGGUGCAAGCGAAACAGUUUCUAGGGCGAACUUCGUUUUCACCCAUCGGUCGAGGAUUUUAUAAAUUGACGUCAACAAAGAUAAUAGAAGACGAUGAUCAACGCAUUGCACUGACCAGAUGCUUUGUGAGAAACUUAAAUAUACAGAAAACUGAAGAGUCCGUACAUUACGCGAGUAUGCAAAAGCAAAGUAUCGCAACAUUCAGUGUAUAAUCAAGUUUUCGAAAUUAAUCACCUCGGUUAGAUUUGCAACAGCAUGAUUUUGCAAAAACGUCUCAUUCAUUGGUCCGUUCGCUUACUCAUUCAUUCAUUCACAGGUAAAAGAGUUUUCGGAUGUUCCCAGAUAGUCGUUUUGGACAUUUCUCAACAUCGAACCUAUACUUUCGCUCAUUCAUAGUAUUCGUCGAACAGUCUACUAUUAAACGAUUGCAGGUGGCAAAUACAUAAUGAUUGGCAGAGAAAAAUUGUUUAUUUCCAACCACCAUUUAUUUAUUCAAUUCAUUUAAUUUCCUUUCUUAAUAUGAAUAAAAUUAAACUUUGCAAAAGCUUUAAUAUAGAUUAGCAGCCUCGGUUCACGCUGACAAUGUCUACACGUACGCCAACAAAUCUUUCCUUAUAUGCACUGGUUUUACCGCGCGCAACUCCUGCGCUACGGUUGUUUUAGGCUAAAUAGGAAAUACUAUGAAUGUGUAGACAGUGGCGGUAUUCGGAAUGUAUGGAAAUAGACUGGUUGCGCAACACCGCUGGUAAAUUAAGAUUCUGACGCGGGCGGAUGCCAUGCCUACCGAUGUUUAUUGCGCGACUGUUAAAACAACCUGUGCUUAUGAUGUAAAAUCGAUAUGCGCUCGGCUGUCCAAAUUUUAAAAGAUUGUUCGGGAACCAAGGUGAAGGUAUUGCUUUCUUCACCCAGCCAAAGUCCCCCACCGUCACCAGCAGUUCGAGAAACGUCUGGCCGCUUCGGCAUGUUAAUAAUAAUUACAACGGACUGUAUUUAAAAAACCGAAUCUUACAAACUGAUUUACGAUAUGGAUUAAUCAUUUAAUUAUAAUUAUGUCGUAUAGACAUAGCAAGCUUACAGGUCUUAGAAACUGAUGACAGGUCGGCGAGUAUGCAACCAUUGACAGUUUUAUUAGUCACGUAAUUAACUAAAAACUGAAGCACUAAUAAUUAAGAAUUUGGCUUGAUUAUUCUUGGACAGGCUUCAGUUAAUAAAUCCUGAUACCAAUCAGUAGUUAGUCGUAUAAUUAUAUCUAUUCUUAAGCCGAAAUUCAUUCAUUCAAUUUAUACAGGAUGAAUUAUUGAAGGAUGGAAAUUAAGGGUAUUUUGAUUGCAUUGAGUAAAGUAUUAAAAUAAGAACGUGGCUGUUUUGUGUUUGUUUGAAAUACAAAUUUAACCUUUCCGCAGUAUAAUGAAAUGAAUCGCGUUAGCUCUCUUCGGAUGGUAAACUCUGAUUCAUCCUGUUUCCUGUAAAGCAAAGGACUAAGUGAAUGUAUUUGUAUAAUAAGUACUGUAAGUUUUGUAACAACGAAAUGGAAUGUAUUUUAAAACAACACCCAGCUUCGCAACGCGCUGUGUAUGCAAUAUGUAACGAUAUUUGAUAAUUGGUUACGUAAGACAUAAAGAGGACGAAUCGAAGGCAUAAUAACGGAAAGGGAAUCCAUGUGAAUCACUGUAUCGAAAUUCCAGGAUGUACCUAUUAUUACAUUAA